AAGAAGGUGGCGAAGGUGCUGGCAAAGGCAAUGGUUCUGUCCCGAGUGGCACAACCGACUGCAACGCUCACCUGGAGCAGGGAGAUGGUACAAGAACAAAGACACUGAAAUGUUGACAUUAAAAAAACUACACUUUGACCUUCAAAACUGCAGUUUGGGUUUCAGCAGCAAAAGAAACCAGCUCCAUGUGCAGAGCAUCCAGCCACGCUCACUUGGCAAACUGCCACUAAGAAGUAACAUGUGAAACUCUCAGCAAGGUUGCACAGGACUAGAAGUUAUGUAAAACAGCUGGACUGAAAUACAACAUUCUGUUCAGAAGCCUGAAUGGCCUGCAGCACAAUUCCAGUGUAUUCUGAUGCACCAUGGAAAUCAACCUGCCUGACCUCCCAAGUGAACUGACUUGGAUUAGAAACUCUUUUAAUCAAGACCAACACCAGCGAUACAGAGGGAAAGUUAUAAACGAGAAAGGCUCAGAAGAAUUGUUCCUGCAGACUCU